UACGUAGGGGGCAAGCGUUGUCCGGAUUUAUUGGGCGUAAAGAGCUCGUAGGCGGCUCGGUAAGUCGGAUGUGAAACCUCCAGGCUCAACCUGGAGACGCCAUCUGAUACUGCCGUGGCUUGAGUCCGGUAGAGGAGCAGGGAAUUCCUGGUGUAGCGGUGAAAUGCGCAGAUAUCAGGAGGAACACCAGCGGCGAAGGCGGCAUCCUGGACCGACAUUGACGCUGAUGAGCGAAAGCUAGGGGAGCAAACGGG
rnacentral:rRNA from 1 species